rnacentral:lncRNA from 1 species
CCUUGUCUUGCCUUAAACCCCCUAACAGGCCUAUUCAUGUUUCCCAAAAUAAAACCCUCGAAAGUCGAAACAGAGCCCAGUGCUACACAAAAAUCCGCCUGCCGCCAUGUCCGCCACCGCAGCUGCCAGGUCAGUCCUCCGUUUCGCCGCCGUCAGGCCGGCAGCUUCUCGGCGAUUAGCCUCCGAAGCCAGGCCGGCCUCCUUCACUUUCCGCACGACUAGAAGAUCCCCGCCUACCCUUCGUCUUUCCAGGUAGUUCUUCUUCCCCCAUCUGAGAGAACAUCACUUUGUCAAUUUCAGAUUAUGAGAUGUGAUGGGAUUUUUCCGAUCAGGUCGAUGAGCUCGGUGUCAUUGCUCCCGUAUCACAGCGCGACUGCCUCUUCGUUGAUCAACUCGAAGCUCUCAGUCUCCGGCUGCGCUUAUGUGUGGACUCUCGAAGGUAAAAGCUUCACCCCAGUUACAUGAUAAUGUUAUUUUCUGUUUGGUUGACUGAUUGAUCUAAAAGAUUACCUCUUUGGAGCUCAAUUAUAGCCUAGGUGUCCACAUUGUUCAGAUUUUGGAGCUCUUUUGACAGUGUGCUUUAGAACCCAGAUUCCUGUUUUCAAUGGCAUCCCAAUGAGGGAAAGAUCGAUUCUUUUCGGUUGUUUGGAUGAUGGCUUUACAAUUCACUGUUCAUGGAAUGUAUUACUUGAUAAAACAUUUGAAUGUUGUUUCUGAAUUGAAAACUAGGGUAUGAGAUUCAGGGAACUAUAGAAGUUUUGGUUGACAAGUUUGAUCUGCAGUCUACUGUGAUUUUGACUUGUUUGCUCUGGUUCUGCUGUGCUUGACUGAAUCAUAAACCCACAUCACUAAGUCGAUUGCUUCAUGUUCUUUGUAUCGCAUUGAUAGCAAGUCUACAGUUUCAUGGCUUUUCGUGCUGUUUUGCAGAUGGAUAAUAGGUGAUCAAUCAAGGGCGAAGCGAUGUUGUCAUUUCGGCGUACAAGUCCAGGUUGUUUUAGGUUCAAGACAAUUGCAGUCAUUCAGACUGUAUACAAUUUCGAUGUCCCUCUGUUCAUAGAGAUAGUUUCAUCUAGCUUUGAUCACAAUUUCAUACUUGUGGCAACUUCAAGCUUUGCUUCUAUUGAUGAUUGUAGUAAUUCUCCAACUUUAACUAACUAGGUUCAAUUUCUUGAUCAUACGAAUCUUUUGUUAUGGCGCAUUCGCGACGUAUGCCAUAGAAAGGCAUAGAAAGAUCCAAUUAGGCCAUUCCGAUGGGGAAUUAUAGGUCAUACUUGGGUGAACAGAUAGUAUCACCAAAAUAAACCGAGCAUUCUACUAUCAACAGUUUAACACAAAUAUUUAAGGCAAUGGCUUGUCAUGAUAAAGACCAAAGCACUUCUUCACAUACGUCCUAGCAAAAUGGUUACAGCUAGUUAAACUACCAGAAAGAUCAAACCGAUUUGUGGAAAUGUGUGAUUACCAAACUUCUCCCCAUAUACUAUAACCCAAUAAGGAAAACCAGAAACUUCGAUCAGGCCUAUCCGAGCUUAUAUAUACUUCUUAACCCAACCCUAGCGGCGAAAUGUUCCUCUAA